CCAGUCCAGGGCCACCCUCACUGGGGCAUUACUGAAAAUGACCAAAGCAAGGGCCUUCCGGGUGGAGGUGGGGAGUGUUUCUUACUGUUUCUUUUACCUCUUGAAGAGUUCCAGGAUCUUAGCUUGUUUGGGGCUCACAACUACUUUCAGGCGGAGUGCCUAACUGGUUUCACAAACACGGAAAAAGUGAGGUCCUGGAGUCUUGGAAUUGACCCAAGGCUGAUCAAUGAGCCAGGAGCAUGAGGUCCAAGCCCCUCGCUCAGUAUAGUUUGACCCUCUCCUGAGAGCUAAGGAAGGCAUGAGAAACAGAGACAGAGAGAAUGGCUUAUAUACUGGGUACUCCAAGACGAAGAAAAAAAAAUGGACAGGGUUCUCUGAGCAUUAAAACGUAGAUUGUGUUCAUUGCUGAGUUCAUGCUACUGAACUACUAGGAACCCAGAUGGUUGGGCUACUUGCUAAUUAACAAAUAACUAUGCAGCCCCCACUGAUACACAGAGCCUGGUGAGUGAAUCUACCCUCCGACUCAGACUCCUGAGUGGGGCUGGGGCUGGGGGCCAGUGGAGGGGACAGCCAACAGCAAGAAACAAUAAUACAGAUGGAAGUGACUUCCAGAAGGGAGAUAAUCCACUGGAAGAAGGAGCUGGGGUUGGGAAGGGGUCCGCAGAGAUCUCUGGUAGGGGCUGACCUUGGAGCUGGACCGGAAGGAUGAGGGGAGCCACGACUGAACAAGCAACUUGGGCAGGGCCAGAGGGCUCAGGCCCUGGGGGCUUCUGGGUGCUGCCCUCUUCAGGUGCCAGGGCCCCAUCGGGGACCCAAUGUCAAGGCCAGAUGAGCUGACCAGACAGUGGGGAAGUUUAACCAGAGGAUACACUGGAAUAUCACAUCAAGUAGCCAAAAUAACCCAAAUGCUGACCAGGAGGGGAGUGGAUAAAUCAUGGAAUUCAUCAACAAAGAUGAGAGAAUGACAUGGAUGCAUCUCAAACAUCGUGAUGUGGAGUAGGAGGUGCCAGGCACAGAAGGCACACUACAGGAUUCCACCGCUCAUGCCCAGAUCAGUAGCUGGAACAUGAUGGGUACUACGAAAUAUUUGAUGAAGAAAGUCAAAAGAAGAGGAGAAAAGAAGAAAAGGAGGGAGGUAGGAAAAAGAAGGAAAGAAGAUGCCUAGGAAAAUGGAGGUACUUCUUCGGCAGGUGACAGAAUGGACCAUCUUUGGGAGGCAAGGCACCCACACUCCCUCCCAAAUUCGCUAUUCUCACUUUGGCUUUUGCAUCCUGGCUGUUCCUCCCACUGGGAUGCUCCCCCCUCGUCUUUCUUCUGCUUGCUCAGCCCUUGGAUCCUUCAGUGGCAACCCGAAGUCCUCCCAUCCCACUCCAGCAAACGUCCCCUCCGCCCUGGCUAUCUGCAUGGACAUCUGCAUGGCCCAAGGGGUCCCCUGCAUUCAUGGCCCACAGUGUCAGGAACACACGCUCCUCACAAUUUCCAGCUGAACACCCCACCAGCCGCAUUUGAAAUCUACGACGGGUAUACCCAAUGUUUCCAAUAAAGGGAUGAGAACUUUG